rnacentral:lncRNA from 10 species
AAGCAGCUGGUUCCAAACAGCAGCAUUCUCAAGGGCAGGGGCUCCCAGUGGCAGGGCAAUUCACGUGAGCAACUCCAUGUUCUCCCAGUAAAAGCAGGGACGGAUCUACUUAACGAUUAUUUUCCUAUGAGCAAAACCGUGGAGGCCACCAUCCUAAUUCAGAAGGACUGGCCUUUCUAUCACUGGAACACGGGUCCAAACUGAAUGUCUCUCGCUUCUGGAUCAAAAAAGCCAGCUCUCACUAACAGAAGCUUCCACAGGCCUCAACAGAAGCCAAGCAGAAGCAAGCACCACGAUUUCUGUACAGACUGCAAAACUGUUCAGAGGCAGAAGGAAAUCGGCUGUGAGUCUCAGAUGAGAUUUCGGACUUUGAGUUGAUGCUAGAACAAGCGUUUUGGAGACUAUUGGGAAGGGAUGAUUGUAUUUUGCAAUGUGAGAAGGACAUGAGAUUGGAGGGGCCAGAGACAGAAUGACAUGGUUUGGAUGAUGGCCCCUCCAAAUCUCAUGUUGAAAUGUGAUCCUCAUUGCUGGAAAUGGAACCUGGUAGGAAGUACUAGAUCAUGGAGGUGGAUCCUUCAUGAAUGGCUUAGUGCCAUACCCUUACUGAAGAGUGAGUUCUCAUAUGGUUUAUGCAAGAUCUGGUUGUUUAAGGGAGUCUGGGACCUCCCCCUUCUCACUCUUGCUCAUGCUCUUGCCAUAUGACACGCCUGCUCUCCCUUCACCUUCUGCCAUCAUUGGAAGCUUCCUGAAGCCUCACCAGAAGCCAGGCAGAUGCUAGCACCACACUUCCUGUAUGGCCUGCAGAACCGUGAGCCAAUUAAACCUCAUUUCCUUAUAAAUUACCCAGUCUCGGGUGUUCUUUUAUAGCAAUACAAAAACAGAGUAACACAGGAUCACUGAAUGAUCUUUGAUUAUUCCUCUUACCUUUGCCAGGCUUCAAUAUCCAGUCACUAACUCAACAAAUCAUGUUUCUUCUCUCUGCACAAUAUUUCUCCCAUCUGCCUCUUUUUUUUUGGCUUCCUCAACCAAUAUCCUAGUUCAGGCUCUUAUUACCCAACACCUAAACAUAUCUAUAAGCUCUUAACUGGCCUCCCAUACACAUCAAUCCAUUCCAUCUAUGGCCACGUGUUUUGAUAAUCUUUCUCUGCUGAUCAGAAACUCAGGAGGUGGCCGGGCGUGGUGGCUCAUGCCUGUAAUCCGACA